rnacentral:rRNA from 1 species
GAUUACGGCCAUACCACUCUGACAACGCCCGAUCUCGUCUGAUCUCGGAAGCUAAGCAGAGUUGGGCUGGGUCAGUACUUGGAUGGGUGACCGCCUGGGAAUACCCGGUGCUGUAAGCA